GCAGCUGCUUGCAGAAGCAGAGGAGAAGCGUGUGGGGGCUGGAAGGAGAGGUGCUGAGAAAAGCACUCGGGGCCCAGAGCUGCCAGCAGAGCAGGUAAAGGUUUUAAAGAACACAAUAGCAGGGAGCUUGUGUGUCUGAGCUCGGAGAUUCACUCUUGGCUGAUGUGGCUGGGAUCAGGAAGCUCCUAGGAUUCCUGCUGUGUGGAUUCAGAGGGAGAUCAGCUGGGAAGCGGGGAGAGGUGACAUCGUGGCUCUGAACCCUCUUCAGCAUUCUGCUCUAAUGUUCUGACAAGGCUCAGCACUGUCUGUCUCGUUGUGGUGGAGGAGCUGACGGUGCCAAACCCCUCGUGGGGGUGACACAGUGGGACCCUGCCUACAGCAAAGGUGCUGAAAGCUGAACAGAUGGGUGCAGGGCAGAUCAUGAGUGACAGCAGCUCCCUUGUGCCAGGGAAGGGCCCCAGAGGGAAUCUCCCUGUUGUGAUGUCCCUUCUGGUCUGCUUAGCUAUGGCUCAGAACUGGUUAUGUACCCGAGUCCUGACGGUCCCAGUGACCCUAUGAAAGAGCCUCUGAGUGCUCAGAUGUGGACCCACGUCCUCCAGCUGCCUCGAGCUGAUCUAGGAGAAGCAACCCGCUCUCCCUCUAGGCCUGCCCUCACUUAACUCUGCAAGAGGAAAUUUCUCCCGAGUUCCAGGGAUUGUAGGACAUUUUUGAUGAGAGGGAGAUACGGAAAGCAAACCUGACCUUUUCAACCAGAGAAUGGCUGCUUCCCCACAAAUCUGUGUCACAGAAAAAUGCUGGGUUUUAUUUUUCUUCCCAAUGCAGCAUUGAAAACAAACAACCAAACCUCAGGCUUUGCUACAAAGCACAAUUGUCUCUCCAGACCAACUCUUCUACAUUUCUACUCAGUCCUGCCUCCUCGUGCUGCUCCCCUCCUGUCCGCAGGCUCGGGCAGUGCGGUGGGAUCAGCCUGGGAAGCUGCACUGUUCCCACCAAACACCUUGGCUAGCUGUGGAGUCCUUUUAUUGCCGGGAUGUCAUUCACACUGGGCUUGUUUAACACACAUACCAGCUGCCUCUUUUCAUGCUACUGCUCUGAGAACGGAGAUUCACAAGGACUGAGCUCAUCUGAAGUUCACAGGAAGAUGGGCUUGGAUGGGGACGUGGGAUGUAAAUCCCUUGAACACUGCAUAUAUUUGCAUCUGCAUCUGAAUUUGCAUCCUCUUUCUCAUCGCAGGAUUCCCCCAUCGCGGUGCGUUGGAGAAACGCAAUGCAUCAUUCAUGGGUUGAGCACGGGAUUUUUUUCUCACUGCUGUUGACUGGUUUACUUUGCAUUGAUUUCAAGGGUCUCACAGUGACCGGACAAGGACUUCUUCAGCCAAAUGAAGUGACUGCUCCUGGGCUGAACCUGCAGCACCCGGAGUAUCUCCAUCUCCUCGGGCAGCCCCAACAUGGCACACGCAUGGAAGAAGCCCUUCCUCAGCCACUGUGACUGUUUUCCCACUUUAGGACAUAACAGAAGAUCCUUUCAACAACAUUUCCUUUGAAAAAUAAUCCAUCUAACUCUGUUUUUGGAAAGUGCUCCAUGCUCUGCACAGGAAGAAGUUAAUUACUGUCCAGGGGGUGAGGGCGUGUGUUCUCAAAUGUUUUAAAUGUUUAAUUUUCUUGAAAGAAAAACCAUCUCUGAUCUCUGUUGGAUCCUCUCCCUGUUUAUACAGAGGGUUUCUAUUAGCAGGGCCAACAGUACAUCCCUGACUGCCACAUCCGUGUCCUUUCCUUCUUCCCUCAAAACAGGAACCCCUCCCAAGGGGUGUGUGUCCCACCUCUCCCUUCACCUCUCUGGAGAUCAGUAACAGCGUGCUCCCUCCUCCAUCCAGACCACAAACUGGGGGAAACUCGCUCUGGCCAUUGCAACUUUCCUUCUUCUGCCUAUUUCCCAGGAAGAUGGAAAGACAGAGGUAUCCACAGGUAUUUCAAAGGAGGUUUCCAUGCAGAGGCUGUCCCACAGAUGUCCCUGUCUCCCACAGGAGUGCAGUAAGGACAUCAUUAGUUUGCUUUGUCCCAGCCUCACUCUCAUGGAAAUUGAGGGUCUCUCCUCCAUUCUAUUUGCACCACGAGGAUGCAUGGGGACAAGCUCCCAGACCCACCUGAGGAGUUCCAGUUACUGACCCAGUCUCUUGCAGGUGGGGAAAGGGGGGUGCUGAGCAUCCCUGGUGUGGCCCUUUGGUGGGAUAGCCCCAAGUACCCCUCAGUACCAGCACACCUCAAGCCCCCACACAAUGUCAUGGAGGAAUUGGUUUGCUUUUAUUAUUGCUGUUUUUCUCAGCUGGUGCUGUUAUCAGGACAUCCUCAGGGUUGCUAAUUUAGUGCUGAUGAGAGGAUAAUGAGAAUGACUGUCAGUACCUGUAGUAGCCACCUGAUUUUUAACUUGUUAUGGUCAGGAAGAAGCAUGGGGGGGAUAAAUUGUGCUCAGGGAGUGUGUUAGCUGCAUGUAUUUCCAGUGCUAGGGGCUGAGAUGGAUAAGAGGUGAUGUGCAGAGCCGCCUGAUUUCAGAGGCUGUUCACUGAGAAGUUUGGGCUGCCAUCAUCCAGGGAUGCAGAUGAAUGGCCACUUGCCAAGGGGGUGUCCCACAUGGGCAAGACGCUGGAGAAGCCCUUGUCCCACAUGUCCUGCUUCCUUGGUGUGGUGUUUUGGGACCUUGGGGGAUACUGGGGCUCUGUCCCUGCCCUGUUGCGCUGAGGAGCCAGUUGUGCACAGCAGGAGCUAGACCUGCUGCCAUCUGGUUGGAUGCACCCGCGCUAAUAAUAGAGCGGUAAGUAUUUGCAUGUGGGUCUCUUCUAGCUCUCGGGCUCCCAGAGGGAGCCACAUCUCUGGGGUUUUUAAUAGAAAGCAAGCAGGGCCAUGAAGUCAGAGGAAGGAAAGGUGUCAGAAAACACUGAGUCAAUGGGCCAGGGCAAUGGAGGGACUGGGGCACGAAGAGCUGCCCUCCAAAGGCUCUGUGUGGUUGACUCCAGGCAGUGGCGUGGGCUGGGCACAGGGAAGCUCUGGCUCGUGAGCAGGAAGCCUGGCAGGUCAGUGGGGUGAAACCACUUAGACUCAUCCUUCCCGAGACACAAGGCCCCAUGCAGGUUCUCUCAAAUGCGGUUUCCUGAUGCAGCUGCUUGAUAAAUAUUUAUCUCUGGUCUAUUGCGAAGCAAUUAGGACAGCCUCAGAAGUGGCUUUGCACAAGAGCCUCCACCAAAAUAAGGCUAUUUGGAUAACAAAUGUAUCCAUCUAUUUUCCACUCAUGAGGACUCUCCUGAAAGCUUGUGUGGAAGCAGACAUUUCCCAAACUUCAGGUAGACGUCUGGUGCUACUUGAAGGCUGAAACCCACACCUCUGCUCUCACUCAUCCUGUGCUGGUUUUAUUCCACUGUCUGCCCCUUGAAGCUUGCACAAAUAUAAGGAAGAGUUAAAUGGGCUUUUAGCAGGCCACUGGCUGCAAUUUGUGAGGCCAGACAAGGACCCUCCCUGUGUUUCUAGAGAUGGGGAUCUCCUGGCACAGGCUGUAGCUGCCCAAGGACAGGAAUGAGGCUGAGAGGGCUUGGUUCUCACCCAUGAAGAUAUGCAGCCUUGUCCCAGAGUGAGAACUGGGGCUCUUGUGGCAGGUGCUUUGUCAUGGGGAAGGCAGAAGAGACAUUUGGCCUUGAAUUCAGUCUGUGAGCUCCUCAGGAAGCUGGGCUUUAGCUUUCUGCCUUUCAGAACAGCUUUGCUGAGGACGAAGCACUGGGGCCAUUCCCAGGCUAUGAGCCUGCACUGGACAACAUAGGUGCAGGUGGGUUGUGCCAGUUGCUGCGUGGUGGGCUCAGGAUCAAGCCCCAGUUUCUGCCUAUGUCUAUGGGGAUCCUGGUCCCGGCCAGCCCCAUUAGGUGCCAUUGUGACACUCGAUGCCUUGCAGUGAUCCUGGUGUCAAAGGCAGACAGCCCUGAUCUCCAUCCCUGGAGGAGGCAUGGAGGGACCCAAGGUAAUGCACACCCUCAGGGGGAGGUAGUGAGAGAGCUGUGCAGAAAGAGCUUUUAUGGACUUGUAGGAACAACCAAGCAAAUCCUCCACAUGUCGUGGCUGGAAGACCAUCCAUGGCCCAUCCCCAAGUGACCAGGGGAAAGAAGAGGUCUCUACUGGAGCUGCUCACAGCCCCUGCACUGUUCUCUCACACUACCUUCUCCCUCCAGCUGGGCACUGGGCACAAACCUCCAGCACUGGGGGCCAUCCCACCCCUCCCAGCGCCGUGGCCAUCUGCUCUCACAGCCCCAGCCCUGCUUUCUUUUUGUGCCGCUUCAUCCCCAAGCAUCGCCUUAACGCCUCGCUCCCUCAUCCUCACCAGGAAACGCGAGAGGUGGGGAAGGGAAAGGUUUCCCCAGCUCUGCACAGAAAUGUUCGAGUGUGUCAAAAGACAAAGCCCGUCCCCUUUGCAACCCACCAGCUGCUGCUGCCACAAAAGCGGGGAGAGGGGGAGGGGGGGGCGGGAGCGUGGGGGGCACUUUGUGACCCGAAAGGAAAAACCUUGAGAAAGGAACAGAAUAAAUAUCCCCUCCUUCCGCCCUCUCUUAACAAGAGGGGACAGAAUCAAACACUUUUGUUAAGUGAGGGGCUGUCCCCCACACCAGUUAACACGGCUCCUGAGCCCUGUCCUGGUGUCGGACUUUAACUCACUCUGUGUCGUGUCUUUCUCUUCACAGGCAGAAAAUUCAAUUAGUCUCGAGCAAAUGCCUUCCUAAAGGACACAGAAAACGAAAAUAAAGAGCAGAAAUCUGCUUUCAUCCUGUACAGAAAGAGGCUUUUUGGGGGAAAUACAGAUUAGGGAGAUAAAGAGGCAAGUUUAGAGCUUUCAGAAGGGGGUUUCUCUCUCUUUGGUAUUUUUUUUUCUCCUGGUUUUUUCUUUUUCUUUUCUAUCCCUUUUCUUUUUCUUUCUCUCUUUCUUUCUCUUUCUUUUUCUCUUUUUUUUUUUCCUUGUGUUCUCUUUUUACUUUCUCUCUCUCCUUUCUCCACUACUCUCUCUCACCCUACCCUAUUGCUGUUGUUCCUGCACACACCUGAUGACCAGAGCCUGCUCCCACACCACUGAGUGGACCCCCUCACUCCAUAAGCAGAGCUGUUUGUUAGGGUGUUUGUCUUGCUGUAAGCAACCAAACCAGCCCCAUUUUUUACUUGUCUCUACGGCUCCUUCCUGCAGGUACAAAUACACGCAACUGCCAGCAGCUCCACAGCCAAGGCUGGAGGCUGAGGGUGAAGCCUGCUGUCCUUAAUGGAGAAGGGAACCAGGGAGAUAGGGGGAUUAUGAGGGAGAUGAUGCUGGGAAUACCUCCGUGCUGGGGUACCCAACUGGUUGGGAUUUCCUUUGGAGCCUUGGCAAUGGCAAUGGCCAACAGCAGCCAGAUGAGAUGUUACUGAUGGCUCAGCAACGAAGGCCACCUCCCCUCAUGCCCCGGGCUGGGCACCACACCAGGGGGACACGGAAGGGCACAGUGCCUCCUCCUCCUCAAGGCUUAUCAGCACUGGUGAGAGGGGAGCACUUCCCGGCGCGGGCGCUUCCUGCCUCUUGAUUGCAGAUGCUGGGCUCUGAUCACCGCUUCCUCCCCUGUUGCUCACCCACCGCUGGGGCUCUGGGCUCCAUGGCUUUGUUGGCACUGUCCCUUGCUCCAAAUUUACCUCCCACAACUGGUUUUCCCCAUGUUGUUUGCUUCCUCCUCUUCCAACAAGUUCGUGUGCCGGGCUGGCUCUCAGCUGCCAACGCUUUGCAGCGAGGGCUGGUGCCUGCUCGUGCUGCCUGUCAGAGAUAAGAACUAAUCUCUGGUUUAUGGUCGCAAACACGGCGCGUAGGUCUGAGCCUCCGCACGGAAAUCAGGACUGCACAAACACGGGCAGCAAAGGGAGGGGGCUGGCAGCACAUCCCUUUUCUCAACGCUUGUUGUUCUCUUGCAGAGCACCAGGCUUUGUCAUUACAGAGGUAUAGCUCCAGAAAGCCUUUGGUAGGGGCAGCAAAUACAUGGUAGGGUAGAAGGGUUUGUUUUUAGACUCAUCAGAGGCUACACAUGGGGUUUCUCCAUGAGCUUUCCCUGAACGCAUCCUUCCCAAAACUGUGAGGGGCAGAAGAGAGGCACCCUAACAAAAUGAUAAUCUGACUGUGUACUGAGGUAACUCCAAACAUCCUGUACUGAGGACUUAAGGUAUUUAUGGUGUCUCAGAUGGCCGGUCUAUGAGGGAAAAGACUCUACAGACAGCAUAGGAAUUUCCUGGAAGGGAGGAAAUCUAAUUGCCCUUCCUUGUGCUGUCAGCAGUCUCUUUAGGUGCACACAGCAGCUGGCAAGAGAUUGGUUUUUUGGCUUGUGGGCUUCUGCUCCGACAUUUCUGCCCCUGUUCUCUUGCCACACAAACAACAGGGACACUUGGCUUGUUCUGCUAGCAUUGAUCAGACCACAGGGAAUGCCAGACCGGGCCAUUUUCAGGUUGCUUCUGGCAAUGAAUGUGUUGCUGUGGGCUCCCAGCGUCUGCCAGUUGGGAGGAGGAUGAGCCAAACCUCCAAAGUGCCAAAGGACAGUGCCAUGUGGAACAGAGCAUGGAGCCAGAGGAGUCCAAAAGCAAAGAGAUAGAAGAAGAGGAAAGAGGAGGAUGGGAGGAGAGCUGAGGGAGCAGUGCAGGAGCAGCACCUCGGCUCUCACAGCAGCUGCAGCACUGGUUAAUCAGUCACCAGCUCAUAGCCCCAGGCUCCUGCCAGCUGCUUUCAUCUCCCAGUCAAAAGGAAGGAUGCUGGGCACCCUGCCUGCAUGCACCAGCCUCCAGGCCCCGCUGAGGUCUCAGGUCAUGUGUUACCCAAGGCACAGAUAGCCCCAGAAGAAGAGGUAGCAGACAUUAGCUUGUGCUGUAUCUCUGCUGUCUAUCCAUUGUGGCCUCCUUGGUCACUGCUCUGCGCUCUGACUUUCCUGACUGCCUUCCCUCCUUUUACUAGAACUAUUUGCUGCUCUUAAUCAGGGCUCCCAGGCUCCCAGAGAGAAUCCCACUCCAGUUCCUCUUGCAAUCUGAUGAGGUAUAGAAGAAAAAAUGGUCGUAGGAAAGAAGAAAGGAGCUGGUUUGGAAGUGAAUAGAGGCUGCUGGUCAGGCUGCCACCGAACAAACAAAGGCUUUCCAGCAUGUAGCUGCUUGUCUAUGCAGGGAAAUUAAUUGGAACAGCUUUUCCAAAUUAGCUGAAUCUGAUGAUGAUAAAAAUAAUAAAAACAAAUAGUGGAUUAAGUUAAAUUAGGAAAAAGCAGCUUUAUUCUGGAAUAGGCGUGUCCGCAUUCCAGCAUAUUUUACUCCACAAUAGCAGCUCCGUGCAGCUCCUCUGUGCCGACAAGCCCCGACACCAACCCGCGCACGCUCCCAGUCCUGCUCGCCCCUCCUGCAGCCGGAGCCUCCAGCCUCCCUCCCCCAGUGCCCUUUGCCAGCACUUCUCCCAGCCCUGGUAGUCCCCCAGGCUUUGGCUGUUCAUCCCUACAAAAGCCACCCCCAGUAUACGUGUGACCCCGAGGUCCCCGCUGCAUGUAGUGGCCUCCCUGCCAAACUCGGCACCGUUCCCACUUUUAUAACUCCAUUUGGGCCCUUCCCUUAGCAGGCAGCCUCUGCUGCUUCGCCUGUCACCCUGAAAGCUGUCCCUCUUUGGCACAGGCGGUGCGCCUGCCUUCAGACUGCCUCCCAAAUGGCUGCACACACAUGCAAAAAUCCCUGAUUUAUUUUGGAUGGGGAAAGAUGAGAAUUUGGCACGUGCAACCGACAAGCGACCCCUCUGACCACGCUGAGCUCACAGGGCCUCUGUGGCUGCUGGCUCCCAUUUCAUGCUAUGGACUCAGUGGGGUGAGCAGCAUUGGCUCCAGUGGCUGCACGGAGCUGUGGCAGUGUACAGCAGAUGAGGAUCUUGCUGUUUCUGUUAGAAGAAGGGCAUAAUUUUAAUUAUCUUGACAUGUUUAUCACUGUAAGCCCGGGCCCGUUAUCUCCACGAGUCUGUUCUCAAACAUGCAAGGCUGAGAGAACAUGAUUGCCUUUUAUUAAGACCGUGCAUGAGGUAUUCCUGCAGCUGCACUGUGUGUCAAAGGAUAAAAAAUGUGUGGAGUGACUUUCCUCGCAUUGUUAGCUGAGAGUAGCUGCUGGGUGCUGCGAGCCAGAUCCUACACAAUGGGGCUUCAGCUAUUAUGGCUUAUUUAUGGGUCUGCAUGUGUUUGUCCUGUCAAACCGUCUUGCAGAGAAGUCUCAAAGCCAUUUAAUAAUGGCUUGGUUGGUUUCCUUAAAACUUGCUUCGUUGCACAGCCUGACACUGAAGAGCUGCUGCUCGGCUGUGCUCACUGUGCCCUGAUCCAUGUGCUGCUCUGUCCCUCUGCUCUGGCCCUGCUCAGCAGAGCUAGGACUUCUGGAGCUGGUUGUUAUCUGCAAGAAGGGCAAUGUUGCUCUUGCAGCACACAGAGUUUCAUGGGUUGUCCAUCAUGACUCAAACCCAGUCGCUCCUUCUGCCUGUCCAGCUGCUCCACAGCGAGGCCCUAACAUCUCCUCUUCCUCCUUCACUCUCUUCUCCACAAAGAUUGCUUAUAACUGAUGUUCAUAGAAUCGUAGAAUGGCCUAAAUUGGAAGAGACCUUAAAGUUCAUGCUGUGAGCUGUUUGCCACCCACCAGCUCAGGCUGCCCUGGGCCCCAUCCAACCUGACCUUGGGCAUCUCUUGGGAUGGGGCAUGUGGGUUUGCAACAGACUUGGAACAUCGGCCUCCUUGUCUGGUCAGUUAUCAUCUUAGACUGCCCUGAGCCCAUGCCCAGCUGGCCUUAUCCCUCUGGAUUUCCUUCUCCCCACUUGCACAGCUGGAUAGCUUAUAUCAGACAGUAAAUUCUUGGUGAAUUACUAGUUGUAUUUAUUGUUUGCUACACCAAAGGGCUCAGGCAUCCUAGGCAUGGGGUCUUUGACCAACGCGCAGAAGGGAUCUUCUCUCUUCCAGCAGUUUUUAUGAUCUCAGGACAAAACAGAAGAUAACUGGGUCUCGUCACAGAGCCCCAGACCGCAGUGUCAGCCAGCCUAGAAAUAGUCCCAGCAGCAGCAGCAGGGCUAAAAAUAAAUCCAAUGAGGUUUAUUUUCAGACAUUCUGCCAGAGUACGCUGUAUCCAUCUCACUACCACCACCCCCCCCCCCCCCUCACCCCGGUCCCAUCCCAUCAGGUCCCCCUUCCCACUGUCCCUGGGGACAUGCAGGUUACAGCAGCAGAUGGCAGCCGCGGGGGCCCAGUGACCUGUCAAACCACCACUGGUCACUGCCUGCAAGCCCCCGCCAGCCCGGGGCCCUGUGUUUGUUUGUGUAAGGACUGGACCGGCUGGCAGCCUUCAUCCCAGCGGCGCUUGGGCUUCCCAGCGGGAUCGUGUUGUUGGUCCCUGGGGCCAGAGUGUGCCUGCCCCAGGCUUGUCCUGCCUGAGAAAUGGGCUUCACGGCUCUGCUGCAUGCGUGGGCCAGCUGCAGGGCUGGGGAUGGAGCUGGCUGUGGAGCAAGGCAUUUUUCUCCUGAAGUCUUCAUAA